UUCCAGGUGACUCAGUGGUAAAGAACCUGCCUGCCAAGCAGGAGAUAUGGGUUCCAUCCCUGGCUUGGGAA
rnacentral:tRNA from 1 species